ACGACGCGAAAGUUUAAGCUGAGAGCGGACAGUUGCACAGCGAAAAAAAAUGGGUUAAAAGUGCAGUUCCAGUCGAUUGGGGAUAUUACAAGGAAAUUAACUUGAAAUCAUACCAAUUUUAUUCGAAUUCGGAAAACUACAAGGGAUGACACAAAUGGCUUUAAAGCCCCAGUUUUUUCAGUGCACGUAUGUACUAGCGUCCUGCCAAUUUUCAAUUGGAUUUCCAAAAGGCGCCGAAAUAAUUGCGGAUACCCUGG